AGCGGACAGAUGGGAGCUUGCUCCCUGAUGUUAGCGGCGGACGGGUGAGUAACACGUGGGUAACCUGCCUGUAAGACUGGGAUAACUCCGGGAAACCGGGGCUAAUACCGGAUGGUUGUUUGAACCGCAUGGUUCAAACAUAAAAGGUGGCUUCGGCUACCACUUACAGAUGGACCCGCGGCGCAUUAGCUAGUUGGUGAGGUAAUGGCUCACCAAGGCAACGAUGCGUAGCCGACCUGAGAGGGUGAUCGGCCACACUGGGACUGAGACACGGCCCAGACUCCUACGGGAGGCAGCAGUAGGGAAUCUUCCGCAAUGGACGAAAGUCUGACGGAGCAACGCCGCGUGAGUGAUGAAGGUUUUCGGAUCGUAAAGCUCUGUUGUUAGGGAAGAACAAGUACCGUUCGAAUAGGGCGGUACCUUGACGGUACCUAACCAGAAAGCCACGGCUAACUACGUGCCAGCAGCCGCGGUAAUACGUAGGUGGCAAGCGUUGUCCGGAAUUAUUGGGCGUAAAGGGCUCGCAGGCGGUUUCUUAAGUCUGAUGUGAAAGCCCCCGGCUCAACCGGGGAGGGUCAUUGGAAACUGGGGAACUUGAGUGCAGAAGAGGAGAGUGGAAUUCCACGUGUAGCGGUGAAAUGCGUAGAGAUGUGGAGGAACACCAGUGGCGAAGGCGACUCUCUGGUCUGUAACUGACGCUGAGGAGCGAAAGCGUGGGGAGCGAACAGGAUUAGAUACCCUG
rnacentral:rRNA from 1 species